GCAGUGACCUGUGGUGAUGUGCAUGUGAACUUCACUCAAGAAGAGUGGUCUUUGCUGGAUCCUUCCCAGAAGAGUCUCUAUAAAGACGUGAUGCUGGAGACCUAUAUGAACCUCAUUGCUAUAGGCUACAAUUGGGAAGACCAUAAUGUUGAAGAACACAUUCAAAGUUGCAGAAGAAAUGGAAGGCAUGAAAAAGACCAUACUGGAGAGAAGGCCUCUGGCUUUACACAAUUUGACAAAGAGUUUGCAUAUCACAGACUUCCUCCAAGGCA